UGACCCGUCUUGAAGCACGGACCAAGGAGUCUAACAUGUGUGCGAGUCACGGGGUUCUACGAAACCUAGAGGCGCAAUGAAAGUGAAGGCCUUCCUCAGGAUGGCCCAGGUAGGAUUCCGGCCCUCGGGCAGGACGCACUACCGGCCCGUCUCGUCCUCCACGCUAGGUGAGGCGGAGCAAGAGCGUACACGUUGGGACCCGAAAGAUGGUGAACUAUGCCUGGGUAGGACGAAGCCAGAGGAAACUCUGGUGGAGGUCCGUAGCGAUUCUGACGUGCAAAUCGAUCGUCAAAC
rnacentral:rRNA from 1 species